rnacentral:piRNA from 1 species
UGUCUGAUAUCCUACCCUCAGGGUGCUG